GACGAACGCUGGCGGCGUGCUUAACACAUGCAAGUCGAACGGAAAGGCUCCAGCUUGCUGGAGUACUCGAGUGGCGAACGGGUGAGUAACACGUGGGUAAUCUGCCCUGCACUCUGGGAUAAGCCUGGGAAACUGGGUCUAAUACUGGAUAUGACCUUUCUCCUUAUGGGGUUUGGUGGAAAGUUUUUCGGUGUAGGAUGAGCCCGCGGCCUAUCAGCUUGUUGGUGGGGUGAUGGCCUACCAAGGCGACGACGGGUAGCCGGCCUGAGAGGGUGAUCGGCCACAUUGGGACUGAGAUACGGCCCAGACUCCUACGGGAGGCAGCAGUGGGGAAUAUUGCACAAUGGGCGAAGCCUGAUGCAGCGACGCCGCGUGAGGGAUGACGGCCUUCGGGUUGUAAACCGUCUUUCAGCAGGGACGAAGCGUAAGUGACGGUACCUGCAGAAGAAGCACCGGCUAACUACGUGCCAGCGCCGCGGUAA
rnacentral:rRNA from 1 species